ACCAGCAUCAAGAAGCUCCGAGAGGAAAACCAGCUCACAACAUUUAUUGAGGGUAAAGGGGUUAUCCUAUUGAUGCCUGCUAACUCCCAACUUGUCCUGGCAAGGACACCUGAAGCCAGUCCUAAUAAACUGCUGGAAUAUCUCCUUAAAGCUUGGGAAAAAUGAUGCCUACAGCAAAUGAAGUGGAGAUGUUGCAAAUUCCUUGGCAGAGGAAUCGGCGAAAGGCUUAGAAAGGUGUGAUGAUGGUGCACUUUUGUGCCAAUAAAGAAUAUCAAAGAAGAAUCAUUUAUCCAGAAUUUGUCAGAAUCUUCCUCCAGCACUGUGGAAAGAGAAUCCACUCCCCUCAUUGGCUGACAAGCGUAUGUCAGCCUGCUCAGCCAUGAGCUCAUCUGGAACAUUUCAGAAGUCUGCCCCUUCUGAGAUGCCACAACCCCUUUGCCUUGGUGGGAGAGUGACAACAAUGUGCCUUGUGCCGACGGAAGGCCGGAGCACCAAACCCAAAGACAGGCUGAGGAAAACACACGUGGAAAGCCAUGGUGUGUGGCGAACUCGGCCAACCACCUCACAAUUGAUCAGAGUGUGUCCGGAUGUGGCGUGCACCGUGCAGAGAGUCAACACGUGCCGAAGGCAACAGGGCUGCUCAGAAAGCAAAAUGUCGCCACCUCUUUCCAGUGACGUCCAGAGACUGGCGUCUGUAAUGUUACCGAGAC